UCCCUGGUGGUCUAGUGGUUAGGAUUUGGCACUUGCACUGCUGCGGCCUGAGUUUGAUCCCUGGCCUGGGAA
rnacentral:tRNA from 1 species